GCCCGCUUGGCUAAGUGGUAUAGCGUGUCACUAGUAACUUGAAGCAAUUCUCACUGCUAAUGUCAUGACAAGAUCAGCGGUUCGAUUCCGCUAGUGGGCA